GGCGUUUUUGGACGAAAAAAACGACCAUGUAUAGUAAGGCGUUUUUAGCCGAAAAAACGACCAUGUAUAUAAGGCGUUUUUAGCCGAAAAAACGACCAUGUAUAGUAAGGCCUUUUUGGACGAAAAAAACGACCAUGUAUAGUAAGGCGUUUUUGGACGAAAAAAACGACCAUGUAUAGUAAGGCGUUUUUAGAUGAAAAAAAACGACCAUGUAUAGUAAGGCGUUUUUAGCCGAAAAAAACGAUCAUGUAUAGUAAGGCCUUUUUGGACGAAAAAAACGACCAGGUAUAGUAAGGCGUUUUUGGACGAAAAAAACGACCAUGUAUAGUAAGGCGUUUUUAGAUGAAAAAAAACGACCAGGUAUAGUAAGGCGUUUUUGGACGAAAAAAACGACCAUGUAUAGUAAGGCAUUUUUGGACGAAAAAAAACGACCAGGUAUAGUAAGGCGUUUUUGGACGAAAAAAAACGACCAUGUAUAGUAAGGCGUUUUUAGCCGAAAAAAAAACGACCAUGUAUAGUGAGGCGUUUUUGGACGAAAAAACGACCAUGUAUAGUAAGGCCUUUUUGGACGAAAAAAACGACCAUGUAUAGUAAGGCGUUUUUGGACGAAAAAAACGACCAUGUAUAGUAAGGCGUUUUUGGACGAAAAAAACGACCAUGUAUAGUAAGGCCUUUUUGGACGAAAAAAACGACCAUGUAUAUAAGGCGUUUUUAGCCGAAAAAACGACCAUGUAUAGUAAGGCCUUUUUGGACGAAAAAAACGACCAUGUAUAGUAAGGCGUUUUUGGACGAAAAAAAACGACCAUGUAUAGUAAGGCAUUUUUGGACGAAAAAAACCGACCAUGUAUAGUA